rnacentral:tRNA from 1 species
GGAGAGAUGCAGGAGUGGUUGAACUGGCUUGUCUCGAAAACAAGUGUACUAUAUCGGUACCGAGGGUUCGAAUCCCUCUCUCUCCGCCA